AGGUGGGGCCAAUGGAAUCAAAAGAGUUCUUAAAUGCAGGAAAGGGAGGCAGAAGAAUGAGAGUCAGAGAAGGAGAAGUGAUGUCAGAGGAAAUGUCAGCGUAAUGCAAUGUGAAAAGUAGUCAACCCUCAUUGCUGGCACUGAAGAUGGAGGAAAGUGGCCAAGAGCCAAGGAAUGUGAGCAGCCUGUAGAAGUUAGAAAAGAUGAGGAAAUUGAAGCAUAAGGAACUAAAGUAACUUGCCCAUGUGCUCAAGACAAGUUCCAGAUGGUUCCUGACUGGGCUAUUACCUCAUAAUCUUUCAAUGUUGAAUAUGUUUUCCCUGGCUCAUUUGUCUGAACCACCUUAAAAUCCUGGGACAGUUUUCCCCUCAUCCAUUUUCAACAGAAUCUUUGGAGAGAAAACUGUCCCCGGAUGCUUUUGAAUCAGAGCCGAAGGCCACUCACAGACAUACACCUCAAAACCCGAGAAGAUAAAGAGUUGUUAGAAAACAGUGACCCAUGCAAUGAUGUUGCUUAUUGCGGACCAAAUUGGCUUCUCAUAUCUGAUGUUCUGUUCAGUGAAAUGGCCCAAUUUUGCUUUUGAAGAGAACGCCAACUUCCCUUCUCCCUCCCAAGAGAACUUGCUGUUUCAUUUGGUAUCUUGAAUAGUCCUUGCUGCUACAAAAGGCAGAGUUCACAUUUAUUUAAGAAAAAUGCUUAUUUCGUGUGGUUUGACACAAGAGCAGUGUUUUAGCUGGAAGCCCAGAGCCUCAAUCGAUUUCAAGGAAACCUGGUGCUAUUGACAGAGUGCUUCCUGCUGUGCUUUCUAGAAGCAAGAAAUUCAACCGGAAACAAGAUACACCAGCAUCUGUCAAAGGAAGAGGCAGCAAAGAAACUGGAAUAUGAUGAGGGAGUCAAGAUUUGAGUUCCAGCCCACGCUUUGAUGUAAAGCCAUUGUUUGAUCUUAAGAAAGUCAAACUCUCUGGGCAUUAGUUUUCAUACAAAGCGAUGGAAAAAUAUCAGGACUUAUUUCCUCAAAGAUGUUGCAAGCUUCCAUCAAUCUCUUUAGAAAUAUGCAUUGUUUUAGUACUUAUGACUUUCUGCUUCCUGAUAUUCCCCACCAAAUGAGAAGAAAUGCUUCCCUCUCACUUUUCAAAGCCUUGAAAAUUGCUUUACCUUGAUAUGUCAUUUCCAAUUCAAUUUGAAGAAAAUCAAAUACAUUUUGAUAAUAUGAGGAAAGAUCUUACCACAUAAGAAUUGGAAAAAAACAGCUUGAAACUUGGUCUUUAAGAGAGAGACUAAUCAGAAUUGAUACAAAUGUUACAUUGUAGAAUCUCAGAGAGAGAAAAUUAGCUUCUCUCUUUUAUAUUUCACUGUAACUAGGAUUUGCCCAAUAGAAUAUUCAAUUGGCAUGAGCAUUUUGUAUAUAUAUUGAUACUUGUAAAAUAUUUAAAUUAAGUUGCUUUUCUUUAAAUCCUUGUUUACAUGAUAACUUUACUUAGUAAAGCCUUUUUUGUUUUCAGAGUGAAAGCAGCAGAAGAAUAUCAGGCAGUAGUUUUGGAAAAUUACCACAAAUUUUGAAUAUGGAGUCCAGUUCCUAAAGUUUCUCACCAAAUCCUAUAAUUAGAGUGGAAAGAGAACUUAGAGAUUGUUUUCCUCAAAUCUUUACUUCACAAAUAGAAUUUUAAUCCAUAAAGCCAAUUGCCUCCAGUUAUAUGAACAGUUAGAGGAAGAGUCAGAAUUUAACAUACUUCUCAUUCAACUAUCCUGUCUUUCUCAUUGAAAGAUGUUCAUUAUUGCUAGUGAGCCAAAGUGAUCUUUCCAUUGAUAGUUCCAAGAUGGGUUGGGGAUUAUAAUGGCCAUAAUUGAUUAUUGACAUCAACCAGGAGUACGUUAUAGAUUACUUUGCGUUGGUCAAGGAUGAAACUGAAGAAAAAUGGUCUAACAAUGAGAAGAAGAUUUUAGUAGGGGAGACAUUACUGGCUCCUUUUUUCAUUGUUUUCUGCUCCUUUUUCCUCCACACUAAUAAUGUGGGCAUUUUAGCUAGGGGACCUCUGAUUGCCAUUCCCUCACUGUAGGCAAUGCCUUCUCCAGCUGGCUACUUUUGACUUCUCUUUUAUCACCCAGGACCUCCAGCAAACCAUUUAUUUAUUUGAGUCCCACCAUUCCAGGCCAUCUUCUUGGCAGAGGUUCAAUGUAGGAUGACCCAAGGUGGCUCCAUUCUAGGGGUCUAUAUCAGUGAGAGGUAAUCAUGCAUUUUUGGUCCACAUUCAGUAAAAAUACAGCUCAUUCCCAAUGCAGCCUUCUCUUUCUUUGCUCUUCCAUCUCCUACCAGCUUCUCACCUUGUUCCCUCUAGAGUGGAAACACCACUAUCUGUGUCCUCCCAACUCAAUGUCAAACUCUCUGAGCAGUUCUCUGGAAGCUUUCUCUCUCACUUGGCUUAAGGUGAAGGAGAUGCAUAUCCUCAUCUCCCUUCGGUGAGUUUCACAGUGCACCAAAUUCUCUCUCUCUAAAGUUCUCAUUGCAGGCCAUUUCCACCUCUUAACUCACAUGAGCUUCAAGUUUCUGGUUUAUAAAUUGGGAAUAGCCAUAUCAUCAAACUUUCAGGAAUGUUGUGAGAAUUACAUGAGAUUAAUAAUGUGACAGUGCUUUGAACAUCAUAACAUGCUAGACACAUUUCAAUGAUUACUAUAAGAUUAAUUAUUUCUCAUUGCAGACUCAUCCAAAAAUUCAGCUAAUUUUAAAUCAAAUAUAGACCCAAUAUGUGCCCCCAAGCCUCUCUCCAAAUCUUCAUUGAUUUUUUUCCUCCAUUCUGGUUUCUUCCCCAGAAUCCAAUCCCACUGGAUGCACUGGUGGUUGAAGUAUAAAGAUGUGGAUGUACGUAAAUAGUCUGUCAUCUGCAAAUCCCUGCAUAAAUCUCUGAUUUCAGGGUUUUCUAACCAAGCCAACAAAAUUAGCAUACUUAUUUGGCACAGUCAGGCUCAGCCUGGGACUAAUCAUUUUUCCCUUCUUUAUAUAACAUUGAUGUGCUUUGAGAAUAGAAAAAUGUUAUUAUGAUUUCAGUUGUUACAGAUGGUGUUUUCUUCACUCUUUCAAAAUAAUUUUGGUUUUGGAGUAAAAAAACAGUAUAGCAUUGCCCAAUAUAGCACGAUAAAGAAGAAAUCUAGUAAGAUUCAUGCGUUUUCAUAAUGAGGUAAUAGGAGGGUCAAGGAAAUUGAAGAGGAAAGCCAGUAGUUAUAUAAUCCAUUGGUAUUUUGUUUUUCAGGAAAAUAUAAACAUGUAAGAGAAAUUUGCUUUAUAUCUACAGACACAUCAGUAUUUAGCUGUACAGAGCCUUUAAAACACAGGUUGGCUACCUUUGGACUCAUCCACUGAACCCCAGCAGAAUAGCUUGUACAAAGCAGCUUCUAUUUAUUUCUUGUUGACCACUGGAGCUGCAGAACCAACAUAAUUAUCAUUGCCUGGUUGGUGGCAAGAUUCAUUCUUUGAUUCAGCUUUGGAUGGUGGCUAAUAGCACAGGUUCCUAAGAGGAACUGCCUGACUCACAUCCUGGUUUGCUACCUGUGUGUGACCUCAGGCAAAUUACUUAACUCCUCUGUGCCUCAGGUUCUUUGUCUGUAAAAUGGGGUUAGCUUAUCUUUAAAAUAGGAUUGCUGUGACUGGUAAACUGAGUUAAUGCAUAUAAAGCACUAAUAAAAAUGCAUUGUACACAGUAAGUGCUCAAUAAAUGUUUGUUAUUAUGAUUAAGUGACUAUUGAGCGCUUACUAUGUGCUCAGUCCUGGGCUUGACCUGGGUGUAAAAUGAUGGAAGAUAAAACAAAAAACAGACUCAGCUCUCCUGGUACUUAUAGACUGGUGGAGAGACGUUAAUUUAAGACUCACAGACAAAUGUACAAUGUUUAAUAUGUGCUAAAAACAGAGAUGUGGUAAGAUGUAAAGGGAAGACGAUUAGGGCAAGGAGGCUGGGGAAAUGUUUUCUGAGUAUGUGCUGAUUUAGCUGAGAGCCGAAAGAUAACCAGGAAUUAGAGGGAGAGAACAUUCUAGGCAGAGAGAAUAGCAUGUGCAGAAGAUCACUUGUAAGAAUGUGAGAAUGUGAUAGCCCAGGUGAACCAUAAUGACUAAGGUGAUGCAGAGGACACAGAAAGAAGUCGAUGAUGUGACAGAUGUUUAGACAUAAAAUCCCUGAGACUUGGAUUCAAUAAGAUAUACAAGGGAGAAGGAGGUAUCAGGACUUUUCCUGAGAUUCUGCAAUAUCAACAGGUUGAAUGGUAACAUCAUUCACAAAAAAGUGAAAAUUGAUGCCCGAGAUUUUUAACCUAUUAUCUACUUUUAAAAAGUGUAUGCUGAGACUGUGCCUCAUCCAUUAUAAGAUCAUCACUAGCAGUGAAGGGGAGAAGAUGAUUAACAGUAUUUGAACUUCCUUACUACAGCCUAGCAACCAUGUUUGCUCCUGUAUCACACAUGAACGCUGCAAAUUUGAGUAACAGAAACUUGAGAAACAGUGGCUUCAUUGGAUAAGGGGCUAUUGGUUUCACAUGGUAAGAAGUCUUGAGAAAACCACUCUAGAUUGGCUCUAACUGCUCAAGAAUAUCGUGUCGGAACCAAGCUCCUUCUAGUUUCCUUCGGUGCCAGCCUUAAUGUGUGUUUUUAUCCUCAUGGUUCCACAAUGGCUGCUCCACCUCCAGGCAUCAUAUCUUCUACCCAAACAGGAAGAAAGAGGUAGGACCAAAAGCUCUGUAGCUCUGGUUGAGAAGGGAAGCCCCUCCCAGGAGACAUCCACGUACAAUCCAUUGAAAGGUGAAAGGUGGUUAGAGAGAAGAGGAUUCAUAGCGGUAUUAGAUUGGCCAACCAACAGCUUCUGCCACAGUUCGUUUGGGCAUUUAGUUAAUUUAAUCUUUAGUAUUAUGCCGGUACAUAUUUGUAAACUGAGGCUUAGAGAUUUUAAGUAAGUUUCUUGAAGUCAACCAGCAAAAUAAAUCAUAGAGCUGGGCUUCAAACCUAACACUUCUCAACCCCAAGACCCACAUGCUUCCAAUCACUCGACAUUGUCCUUUCUUAUACCUUAAAAAAAUUCCAGAUCAAGUGAAUUAAAACACAGAAAGAAAUUAUUUUAUACCGUAGUGUGUGAAUAUCAUUUGAAGGUAUGAUCAAAAGAGAAUGUGGGGUUUUUUUCAUGGCCUAAGUACACACAUACACACAUUAAGUAAAACGCACAAUGAUCCUGAAAAGCCCUCAGUGAGGUUAACAAGGUAACUUUGAUGGCUUCUGUUUUGCCAGUUCUAUUCUGUAGUAAAAUCUUAGGGGAAAGGAACAUUGCUGAAGAGCUAAAAAAUAGCAGCUAUGUUUAGAACCAAUGGAUAAUUCCUUGAAGAGCAUAAAUUGCUGAAAAAAAAUUAGUGCGUGUGGGGAAAAUUAGAGAUUUAAAAGAAAAAGUAAAUGAGUAAGUUGGAGAGCAAGUAUAUAUUUAUUCCAUGUGUUUUGUGCCUUCUCAGGAUCUGCUUUUCUUCUUAGGUAUGUAGAAACUGGGACCUGCAUUUAGCUACUUCAAAUAAGACUUGAAAAGUGUAAAUCAUAUUUUCAAGCUAAUGCCUGAUUUGAAUACAUAUUUUGAAAGCUAAAGUUAUCAUCUACAUUCUCUACCUGAUUAUAUUUGUGGUUUAAAUCAGAGGGGAUAUUUGCCCACUUAUCCUAGCUGCCAAGUGCUGCCAUCCUUGCUGGAAGAAAAAAAUAUUAUCAGGAAUAAUCCAAUUUGCUUUGCUUCUAUUUUUGUUAAUG
ensembl:lncRNA